rnacentral:rRNA from 1 species
UACUCGAGUGGCGAACGGGUGAGUAACACGUGAGUAACCUACCCUUGACUUUGGGAUAACUUCAGGGAAACUGGGGGCUAAUACCGGAUAGGAGCUCCUGCUGCAUGGUGGGGGUUGGAAAGUUUCGGCGGUUGGGGAUGGACUCGCGGCUUAUCAGCUUGUUGGUGGGGUAGUGGCUCACCAAGGCUUUGACGGGUAGCCGGCCUGAGAGGGUGACCGGCCACAUUGGGACUGAGAUACGGCCCAG